UACGUAGGGACCAAGCGUUGUUCGGAUUUACUGGGCGUAAAGGGCGCGUAGGCGGCGUGUUAAGUCAGCUGUGAAAUCUCCAAGCUUAACUUGGAACGGUCAGCUGAUACUGAUGUGCUAGAGUGCAGAAGGGGCAAUCGGAAUUCUUGGUGUAGCGGUGAAAUGCGUAGAUAUCGUAAGGAAGACCAGUGGCGAAGGCGGGUCUCUGGACAGUUCCUGACGCUGAGGCACGAAGGCCAGGGGAGCAAACGGG
rnacentral:rRNA from 1 species